rnacentral:tRNA from 1 species
GGAGAAUUGUCUGAGUGGCUUAAAGAGCUCGAUUGCUAAUCGUGUGUAUUUUAAAAAAUACCGAGGGUUCAAAUCCCUCAUUCUCCA